GCUAAUGAAAUUUAAUCUUUAUUUUUGUUGGGGCAUGAAGUUUUUUUGUUGGUUUUAUGAAUUUUAGGUAAAAUUAAAAUUUAUAUUUAGAGGUUUUUAUGUCAUUAAGAUUUUUGAAGGCGAAUUAGAUUAGUACCUAAUUAGUGAAAAAUUAAAUGUUCAGGAGUAAAGUGGUAUUUAAACUGAAAGAAUAUUGGCAGAUUUUCUAAAUUAUCUUUGGAGGUUGAGUGAUAAUUGAGAACCCUCAUUAACUACUUGGUUUUUUGGCUUAUGUAUGAUCGUUUAUUUUAAGCUUAAGGUUUAGGAUUUUAGGUUUUGACUGUAAAAAUAGAUAUAUAUUUAGUUUAUGAUUAAGUUAAUUUGACCUACAAUAUUUUGAAUUGUGUGGAUUAUUAAAUUAGUAUUAGUAUGAAAUUGUAAAAGACAGUAAGAAAGUUUUUAUAUCUUUUUGAAGAGUAUUUAGAAAUGGCA
rnacentral:rRNA from 1 species